rnacentral:lncRNA from 1 species
AGACAGCUGAUUGGUCAGCUCUUCCUCGUCUAGACUGCUGAUUGGUCAGCUCUUCCUCGUCUAGACUGCUGAUUGGUCAGCUCUUCCUCGUCUAGACUGCUGAUUGGUCAGCUCUUCCUCGUCUAGACUGCUGAUUGGUCAGCUCUUCCUCGUCUAGACCACAGAUUGGUCAGCUCUUCCUCGUCUAGACCACAGAUUGGUCAGCUCUUCCUCCUCUAGACCACAGAUUGGUCAGCUCUUCCUCCUCUAGACUGCUGAUUGGCCAGCUCUUCCUCCUCUAGACCACAGAUUGGCCAGCUCUUCCUCCUCUAGACAGCUGAUUGGCCAGCUCAUCCCCCUCUAGACCACAGAUUGGUCAGCUCAUCCUCCUCUAGACCACUGAUUGGCCAGCUCUUCCUCCUCUAGACUGCUGAUUGGCCAGCUCUUCCUCCUCUAGACCACAGAUUGGCCAGCUCUUCCUCCUCUAGACAGCUGAUUGGCCAGCUCAUCCCCCUCUAGACCGCUGAUUGGCCAGCUCAUCCCCCUCUAGACGGCUGAUUGGCCAGCUCAUCCCCCUCUAGACCGCUGAUUGGCCAGCUCAUCCUCCUCUAGACAGCUGAUUGGUCAGCUCUUCCUCCUCUAGACAGCUGAUUGGCCAGCUCUUCCUCCUCUAGACUGCUGAUUGGCCAGCUCUUCCUCCUCUAGACCACAUAUUGGCCAGCUCAUCCCCCUCUAGACCACAGAUUGGCCAGCUCAUCCCCCUCUAGACCGCUGAUUGGUCAGCUCAUCCCCCUCUAGACCACAGAUUGGCCAGCUCAUCCUCCUCUAGAUCGCUGAUUGGUCAGCUCAGUCUCCUCAGGAGUAUUACGUCAUACUACAUGAGGAAAUAGCGAGAACGGUCUGUUUGAGAUCGAAGUUUAAGGUUUGCUGUUCACUUGAGCAACAUGAGAUGGAACGGAGUUCCGUCCAAUAAUAUCUCUAUAUAAUACUUGUACGCUUUCUUGAUUUUAUUCUGGAUUUGGGGACUGUAAAGUUCCUCUGCGUGCACAUCACCGAGAACCUAAAAUGGUCUUCUUCACACCGACAGAAGGUGCAACAGCUCCCUCUUCAAUCUCACGAGGUUGAAGAAAUUCAUCUUGGGCCCCUUGAGUCCCUCAAUAACUUCUACAGAUGCACCAUCGAGAGCAUCCUGUGAAGCUGUGUCACCGCCUGGUACGGGCCAACUGCACCGCCCGCAAACCGCAAGGCUCUCUCCAGAGAGUAGUGCGGUCUGCACAACACAUCAUCGCCUUGCCCUCCGGUACAUCUACAGCACCCGGUGUCACAGGAAGGCCAAGAAAAUCAUCAAGGACCUCAGCCACCCGAGUCACGGCCUGUUCACCCUGCUACCAUCUAGAAGGUGGACACAGUACAGGUGCAUCAAAGCUGGGACAGAGAGACUGAAAAACAGCUUCUAUCUCCAGGCCAUCAGACUGUUAAACAGAUAUCACUAGCCGGCCUCCGCCCAGUACCCUGCCCUGAACCUUUGUCACUAGCCGGCCUCCGCCCAGUACCCUGCCCUGAACCUUGGACACUGUCACUAGCCGGCCUCCGCCCAGUACCCUGCC